CCAGAAGUUGCCAGAGGGCGCCUGACCGACUGGGACCCGGCCAGGGAUUCCUUUGUCUGCAGCCCUGCAUAUACUGGCCCAGCCCCUUCCUUUCUCCAGUCUCCUGGGCGCACUUUUGUAGGGUGCCGGGAAAUCAAGUAUUCUGCAGGAGAACAAGGGUUUCCAGGUUCUGAACCGCAAGUGAGGGCGGAGGACCACUCCGAGGGUCCAAAGAAGUUCUGUAGUUUUGUCGGCUGCAGAUCGCUGCACAUACACUCUCAAGGGUGUCUCCUUCCUGGAAUUCCUGGUUCUCGCUCAGGCAGAGGUGGAAGCGAUAGGGAGGUGGAGAAGCGCGAAUCUUCCUAUACAAGUUCCUUUGAGGCAAAUCAUUCAUUAAACAAACCCUGGGGAAAUAGUUUUAGGAGCUGGAGAGUGUGGGAGGGUCCAAUGAGAUCUCUCAGUCUCUACUCUGAGUCUCUCCCGCCCCUGCCUUAUCUCCCUUUGCUCCCCACCCCCAUUCCUGGAAGGUGGCGGUGAGAGCGGAAGCUGCCAGGAGCAAGGACUAGCCAGGAAGGUCAUCAGAAGGAAGAUUGAGAACCACUGUUCUGAGUUAAC
rnacentral:lncRNA from 1 species